UCCACACAACCGAGAGGAGCGCAUGCGUGAUGCCAUCCCCCAGCGCUGCCAUUGAGGGCCGUCAUUGAGUGGAAGAGAUUUGUUUGAAACAGGCCGCAAUGGAGAGACCAGCGCCCAGGGAAGCGAGGGAACAGCAGGCUCCUUCCAGCAGCGCAUCGAGAUGAGAUGUGGCUUCUGCCUUCCUCCGGGCAAAUACUUGAAGGACCAGGAUGAUGUUGUAUUUGAGAUAAUGGGAACUGCAGAUGCUGGAGAAUUCCAAGAUAAUAAAAUGUGAGGCUGGAUGAACACAGCAGGCCAAGCAGCAUCUCAGGAGCACAAAAGCUGACGUUUCGAGCGUAGACCCUUCAUCAAAGAGGAUGUUGUAUUUCCUCGGUACAAAGCCAAGUCUGACCAGUUGCUUCUAACAAUCAGCAGGCCAAUACUUGAAGGACCAGGACAAUUUAGUGUUUCCUCAGUACAAAGCCAAUUGUGACCAGCAUCUUACAACAACCACCGGGGUGUGGCCAGCUCUGCCAAGGUGGCAAGGGGAUGCCAAUCUCAAAACGUCCUUGAAUAGAUCAACAUGCUCGACCUGAAGGUAAUGAGGAGUUUGCAAAGGGUUAAGAGUCACGUGCAGAGCAGAUCAGGUGCAGUCCUGCCAAGUGAAUAUCAUCAAAGAUUCCCAGCUUCCCAAAGUGGAUUUGAACCCGGGUCCCCAGAACAUCACUGGAACAUCUGGAUUAACAGUUCCGCGAUAAUCCCAUGAGGCCAUCGCUUCCCCAUUCAAAGGUCAAGCCUGCCACUCUGGAGGUGUGUGAUCCCCCAUCCUGACAAUGUGGCGUUUCCAAAAUACCUGCAGCGGAGAGAAACCCCCUACGUUCCCGUUCCCACAAUGGGUUUUGGAAUCUCAGAAAACCGAGUUGAAGUGUCCAGCAGGGGUUUCGGAUCAUUGGGAGAUCUAGUUUUCUCCGUACAGACUCCAUUUCAGCCAUGCCUUUUCUCUCCAGUUUGUUCAGUGGCUUGCAGCUCAGUGUGUGUUCCUUCUGUGGGGCCAGAAGUUGCUCGAUCCAACCCCACACCCCAGGUCUCUUUCGCCCUGGAAUGUAACCAUUGAAAUUGGCUGGUUUCUGUUUUUGUUUAUAUCUCCCAACUGUCAGAUCCUUCUGACUAUUCCUGUUCAAAGUUGGUCUGUUCCAUGCGCAGAAGGUGGCAGACGAUGUCUUCCUCCCCUUAAACAUGGACCAACUGAAAAGCUCAAUCCUCAGACAUGUACAUGAGGGGGAAGGAGGGACAGGUAUUAAAUUUCCAAAGACCACCAGCUGCUAAAAUAGUGUUGAUUUUACAAAACUAAUGGCCUGCAAUGUCCAGAACAGACCAACAGAUGCAACAACAUGAAAUUAGCUUCCCCGGCUGAAAAUGAGUGGAGUCAAACAACGUGUGAAACAUGGUUUCCAUCGCAAAGUUCACAAGUUUGGGAUCUGUACACAGGAGUUACAUUGUACCUCUUCACCAGACAGUCUAUAAAAAUCGAAUGACCCACCUCUCAUCUGUCUUCUUCUUUCUUACUUGUGUGGAAUAUUCUCAUAAACAUUUCCACCCGCUCUGUCUUCUUCCUCUGAGAGCUCGCUGAGGUUCAGUGUGGCAUAUGUGAUACAGGAAUCAUUGGGGUCAGGCUUGGCGUCCUGCAAUUGGAACGAUAUUGGAAUGGAAUUGGAAUUGAGUGGGAGCAGGAAGGUGAAGAGGUGGGAGAGGUCAAUUGGGAAUAAAGGUAGAAGUGGAUAUCAGGGGAAAACAGGAAUCACCAACAGGAAAUGAAGGAGGUCAAGUAUUGUUUUAUGGUGAGGGUGAGCAUUCAGUUUAAGGUUAGUGUUGGGAUUCAGAUUAGGAUUAGGGUCAUGGUUAGGUUUUGGGUUAUGGGUUGGGUGAGGGUUAGGGUUAAGGUUGGUUCAGCAUUAAGGUUUGGUUUAAGGUUAGCAUUGGGUUAAGGCAAGGAUUACAGUGAGGGUCAGUGGUCAGUCUAGGGCUAGGCUUAAGGUUUGGGUUGGUGUAUUAGUUUUAGUUAGCAUUUGGCUGAGAGCCACGAUUAGAAUGAGUAUUAGAGCUCGGUUUAGGACUAAGAUUUAGUUUAGGGGUAGGUUUGAGUUUAAAUUAGGGUUACGAUUAGUGGAGCGAGGACUUGAGGGGUCUGAAUGGCCUCCUCCUGUUCCUGAUUCACAUGAUGUUAUGUCUCUCCUCUUCUGAGAUGCUCUAGCACAGAGUGGGGAUAGUGAUCACAUUUACCCGAACCAGGAGGCUAACUUUGUGACUGCUCUCCAUCCGACUGUCAGGAACACGGUCUACCCCAGUUCCUGACCCAACACCUCGUUCCCCGGGGUCCCCCAGCCAAAC